GGGAUCCUACGGGGGGCAGCAGUAGGGAAUCUUCCACAAUGGGCGAAAGCCUGAUGGAGCAACGCCGCGUGGGUGGAGAAGGUCUUCGGAUCGUACAACCCUGUUGUUAGAGAAGAAAGUGCGUGAGAGUAACUGUUCACGUUUCGACGGUAUCUAACCAGAAAGCCACGGCUAACUACGUGCCAGCAGCCGCGGUAAUACGUAGGUGGCAAGCGUUAUCCGGAUUUAUUGGGCGUAAAGGGAACGCAGGCGGUCUUUUAAGUCUGAUGUGUAAGACUUCGGCUUAACCGGAGUAGUGCAUUGGG
rnacentral:rRNA from 1 species